GUCCCAGGAUGCUCUGCUUGUUGAGGACUUUCAUCUGCUUUUAGGCUUUGGUUUGGUUUUGUCUUUGUCUCCUCCUAUUCUUUCAGGCUUUUUCACAUUCUUGUCUCUAGACUUCUGAGUUCUUCCUAAAGGUAUUUCUUAUGGGUUGUGAGCUGAACACCAGAUAACCAAGUUUGUUGGAAUUCUAUCUAAAAAUUCACGUCUUUGUCUCAGAUUGUGUGACAUCUUCUUUUAACUUUUCAGAAGUGGUCUAACGUCCUUCCUAGGUCUUGGCAGCGUCAUGCGCACUUGAGCUGGCCAUCUAACUGACUGCCAGAAGUGAGACAUCUCUGAGAUGGUGGAGAGUUCUUCAUGGGUAUGACCAGCUGUCUCCCAGGGCUCCAGAGUGUGAGGUUCGUUUAUACCUUUCGCUGUGUUCUGUCCGCCUUAUCAGUGAGUCCCGGGGUCUCAGCCCACGCUGGCUGUCCCAUGGAGCGGCUGUCAGGAAUUCUUUCUUGUCUUCCCGGCCUGACGUUCUGCCGGAUUUGUGACUCUCGUGGAAGACAGCUACCAUUUAUCUUCCUACAUCUCCAUCUAGAUCCAGAAAGAUUCCCUAAUUUGUCAGAACUCAUUCACAGCCAUCACAAAACUCAGGGCCCAUAGACUGGCAAGGCAAUUUUUUAAAUGUCAAAAGAAAACUUGUCUCGAGGACCAAAAUUAAACUUGAGCAAACUGGCCCGUGAGAUGGAAGCCCUGGGCACUGGCUCUAGUUCGGUUGUGGCUCCUUGGGGGCUGGGGCCAUGCUGGUACCCGAGGGGAAGAUGCCCAGCCCUCUGUGCUUUAGUUUAAUUGAAGUGACGAUUCCUUCUUGUUUAACUCUGAGCUGAGCAGCACUGCAGGAACCCUGAGUACUUGCUAACCUCUGGCCUGUUCAUUGCCCAAGCCCGCUUUAUAGAUUCCUGAGCACAUCCCAGUGGACCAGGGAGGGAAGGCUGAAGUGGACAGGUCAUCCUUGCAGCCACAUCUACCGCUAUGUCCACUGGAACCACAAAUACUUCCACCUUCCAUAUCUUUCCCAGGGUACCUUCAAUCUCACAUCCUUAUGCUGUCAGUAAAUAUGGAAAAAAGAUGAGGGAACUGAAGCCUCUGAAAUGAAGAUGCUUUUCCCAGGGCCACCAGCUGUUGGGUGAUGGAUGCGGUCCUAGAAGCCCCCUCUUCUGCCAACUGGGCACCCACAGCAGCUGGGCUCCAGGGUGGGCGCUGCGAGACAGCCAAGUCCUUUCCACCUCCCUAACUCCUUGUUAUUAUUUAUGUCUGACUUCCAAAUGGUGCUGAUCGGUUGUGCUAAUAUACUCUAAAGAUUUCUGCCCAACUGCAGUCUGGCUGACCUUUCUGUAAUCUUCCUUUGCCAGAUUCUGGGAAAGAUCUAAAGGGAAAUUAACAAUGAUGUUGAGUUUUUUUAAGGUUAAAACCUUGAUUUCAGUUUUCAAAUCACUGCCUUUUUAUUUAAGCUUUGAAAAUUUUCCAGAAUUUCCAGGUUUUUCUUAUAUAGGAAUAUACUGCUU
ensembl:lncRNA